UGGGUCCUAGUUUCAACUCUGCCGUC
rnacentral:piRNA from 3 species